CAAACGAAUCACGCGUAUUCCAAAUCUGUUUAAAAAAUGACCAACAGAGACUGGACGUUCAACAAAGCUGACCAAUACUUAAGGAGUCGGCGCAGCAUCCCCCCCAAGUGUUUCGCCGAUCAAGGCGACAAUGGAAUGUAGGCCUUUGUUUUACUCCUAAUGGUCUUAACCCGGAUUCCCCAGAGUCCGG
rnacentral:sRNA from 1 species